rnacentral:rRNA from 1 species
AUUGAACGCUGGCGGCAUGCCUUACACAUGCAAGUCGAACGGUAACAGGUUAAGCUGACGAGUGGCGAACGGGUGAGUAAUGCAUCGGAACGUGCCCAGUAGUGGGGGAUAGCCCGGCGAAAGCCGGAUUAAUACCACAUACGACCUAAGGGUGAAAGGGGGGGAUCGCAAGACCUCUCGCUAUUGGAGCGGCCGAUGUCAGAUUAGGUAGUUGGUGGGGUAAAGGCCUACCAAGCCGACGAUCUGUAGCUGGUCUGAGAGGACGACCAGCCACACUGGGACUGAGACACGGCCCAGACUCCUACGGGAGGCAGCAGUGGGGAAUUUUGGACAAUGGGCGCAAGCCUGAUCCAGCCAUGCCGCGUGCGGGAAGAAGGCCUUCGGGUUGUAAACCGCUUUUGUCAGGGAAGAAAAGCUCUGGGUUAAUACCCUGGGGUGAUGACGGUACCUGAAGAAUAAGCACCGGCUAACUACGUGCCAGCCGCCGCAGUAA